rnacentral:rRNA from 2 species
AGUGGCGCACGGGUGAGUAACACGUAGCUAAUCUACCCUCAAGCGGGGGAUAACGUUCCGAAAGGAAUGCUAAUACCGCAUAAGCUCACACAAAGUAGAGGCGUGUGAGAAAAGGCGAAAGCCACUUGAGGAUGAGGCUGCGGCCCAUCAGGUAGUUGGUAGGGUAACGGCCUACCAAGCCGACGACGGGUAGGGGACCUGAGAGGGUGAUCCCCCACACUGGGACUGAGACACGGCCCAGACUCCUACGGGAGGCAGCAGUGAGGAAUAUUGGUCAAUGGGCGAAAGCCUGAACCAGCGACGCCGCGUGGGUGAAGAAGGUCUUCGGAUCGUAAAGCCCUUUUCUGUGUGACGAGUAAGGACGGUAGCACAGGAAUAAGUCUCGGCUAACUACGUGCCAGCAGCCGUGGUAAAACGUAGGAGACAAGCGUUAUCCGGAGUUACUGGGCGUAAAGGGCGUGCAGGCGGUUGACUAAGUUCGUCGUGAAAUCGCCCGGCUUAACCGGGCGGGGUCGAUGAAUACUGGUGAACUAGAGGACGGUAGAGGCGUGUGGAAUUCCGGGUGUAGUGGUGAAAUGCGUAGAUAUCCGGAGGAACACCAGUGGCGAAAGCGACACGCUGGGCCGUACCUGACGCUAAGACGCGAAAGCAUGGGGAGCGAACGGGAUUAGAAACCCCGGUAGUCCAUGCCGUAAACGAUGCCAACUGGGUGUU